rnacentral:tRNA from 1 species
GGUUGUGGCUCAGUGGUGGAGCGCUUGCCUAGCAUGUGUGAGGCACUGGGUUCGAUCCCUGGCACCG